UUAGGGAGACCUACACCCCUUAGAUAUCGAAAAGCAAACAGCUAUAUAGAUACUAAGUUGGUCUAACCUAGGUCGGUCGCAGACAUUUGCAUAUUGUUGAAAGCUUUCAAACUAUGAUGAAGGUUCGAUAUGGGCUAUUAGCUCAGGUGGUUAGAGCGCACCCCUGAUAAGGGUGAGGUCCCUGGUUCGAGUCCAGGAUGGCCCACCUGAAAGUAAUUAGUAAUUGCUAAUUCGUAAUUCGUAAUUAACUACGAAUUAAGAAUUAUGAAUUACAAAUUAUAAUCUGGGGGUUUAGCUCAGUUGGUAGAGCGCCUGCUUUGCAAGCAGGAUGUCAGCGGUUCGAGUCCGCUAACCUCCACCUGAUGGCGAUUGCCAAAACAGAAAAACGAUUGAGAAAUCAGCAACAUGACUUAGUUGAAUAAAGUCAGACUGCUGAGUAAGUUCUCAGCCAGAACCUUGAAAACUGCAUAGUAACGCGAAAUUAGCAGGCAGACACAGACAUUUUUUAGUGCUGAGUGCCCAGUGCCCAGUACUGAGUGAAAUCAGUACGAAGUCACGAAGUAAGCAGAACUAAUGUAUAAGUGAUUGUGAAUGCAAUAAAAGACCAAAAAUUUGAGU
rnacentral:tRNA from 1 species